GAUGAACGCUGGCGGCGUGCCUAAUACAUGCAAGUCGAGCGAACGGACGAGAAGCUUGCUUCUCUGAUGUUAGCGGCGGACGGGUGAGUAACACGUGGAUAACCUACCUAUCAGACUGGGAUAAUUUCGGGAAACCGGCGCUAAUACCGGAUAAUAUUAUGAACCGCAUGGUUCAAAAGUGAAAGACGGUCUUGCUGUCACUUAUAGAUGGAUCCGCGCUGCAUUAGCUAGUUGGUACGUUAACGGCUUAUCAAGGCAACGAUGCAUAGACGGCGUGAGAGGGGGGUCGGCCACACUGGAGGUGGGACACGGUCCAGACUCCUAAGGGAGGCAGCAGUAGGGAAUCUUCCGCAGUAGGCGAAAGCCUUACGCAGCAACGCCGCGUGAGUGAUGAAGGUCUUCGGAUCGUAAAACUCUGUUAUUAGGGGAGAACAUAUGUGUAAGUAACUGUGCACAUCUUGACGGUACCUAGUCAGAAAGCCACGGCUAACUACGUG
rnacentral:rRNA from 1 species